UCCUCACGUUCUUCUGACCUAGCUUUCUAGUCCACCACCACCAAGGCUCCAGCUCUUUUUAUUAGAAAUGGCUGCCUGACUUGGGACAACCCUUGACUACCUCAGUUUCUCGCUUUGUGGUGGUAUUAGUGAGGAGAUUGUAGAGUGUUAAUUGUGACUGCCCCACAGGAGCAGUUACCCGCGUUGUAAAAUGUUACAGUAAAUUAGAAUAACACGGCGAAAAUUAGCAUACCGUCCCCCUCCCUCCCCCACCCCCACCCCGCAUUUUAACUGCAGCGUCAGCAGCAUCUUUACACUCUGUGGAGGCAUCCCCGAACCUGAUCCCCUUUUGGCCUCAGCAUUCCAUUUGGUGUCUGGAUUACUUUUUGGAACUAAUCUGCAGAAGUCAGAGACAGUCACUCCUCAAGGCUCCAGGUGACCACUCCUGCUUGACUCCGCCCCACGGAAAGAAGGUGAGGUAGGGGGCGGGGCUGGUGGUGGGGGUCGGCAGGAUUGGUGAGUAUACUGGCCCUUCUGGUCAGUCCUACACCUGUCACUCUCCUAUGUGUGGGCCACCUCUGUGACGGGCAAUAAUGCUGCUGCUACUGCUGCUGUUGCUGCUGGGACCUGGACCCGGAUUCAGCGAAGCAACCAGGAGGUCACAUGUAUACAAGCGUGGACUCCUGGAGCUGGCAGGGACCUUGGAUUGUGUUGGGCCUCGAUCUCCGAUGGCUUACAUGAACUAUGGCUGUUAUUGUGGCCUUGGUGGCCAUGGAGAGCCACGUGACGCCAUUGACUGGUGCUGCUACCACCACGACUGCUGCUACUCUCGGGCUCAGGACGCUGGCUGCAGCCCUAAGUUAGACCGCUACCCAUGGAAGUGCAUGGACCAUCACAUCCUGUGUGAACUGACUUUAAAUACUCGGAGUGCGUGAUCACACAGAUGAACUGUGGGUAGGAAUACAGUGGGGCAGAGAUCCAGUACUCUGAGGAGCUGCAAACAAAGACCAGCAGAGAACAAAUGCCAAGAACUUUUGUGCAGGUGUGACGAGGAGCUGGCUUACUGCCUGGCAGGGACCGAGUACCACCUGAAAUACCUCUUCUUCCCCUCCAUUUUAUGUGAGAAGGACUCUCCCAAGUGCAAUUGACAGGCUCACAUGUCCCUUUGCACAUGGAAACGCACUUCACUUUCAGUGAUCACCAACAGCAUGCAAUUUGUGCAGGAGAGUCACCGGAGGCCAAGUGCUAAAGCCACCUGCGUUUGCUUUCUCCUUCCAUUCAGGAACUCACAACUAUGAGCCUGUGGAGUUGCCAGUCUGAUGAAGGUUCAAAGUCCUGGGCCUGUUUUAUACAAAUAGCGCUGUGUUGGGCGUGGUAUACUUUUUGAAAUUCAGCCUUUAUGAGAAGCUGUACUAUCUUGUACCUGCUGCAGGGCUGCUGGUCAGAUGUGGGUGAACACCUGCUUAGGCUUGGCUGUGGUAAUAACAUUGCCACAUGAUACAUCUAAGAAUUGUAACUGUAAUAAAAAAAUGUUCCCUAACUGGC
rnacentral:lncRNA from 1 species